AACGAACGCUGGCGGCAUGCCUAACACAUGCAAGUCGAACGAGACCUUCGGGUCUAGUGGCGCACGGGUGCGUAACGCGUGGGAACCUGCCCUUAGGUUCGGAAUAACUCCCCGAGAGGGGUGCUAAUACCGGAUAAUGUCUUCGGACCAAAGAUUUAUCGCCUUUGGAUGGGCCCGCGUUGGAUUAGCUAGUUGGUAGGGUAAAAGCCUACCAAGGCGACGAUCCAUAGCUGGUCUGAGAGGAUGAUCAGCCACACUGGGACUGAGACACGGUCCAGACUCCUACGGGAAGCAGCAGUGGGGAAUAUUGGACAAUGGGCGAAAGCCUGAUCCAGCAAUGCCGCGUGAGUGAUGAAGGCCUUAGGGUUGUAAAGCUCUUUUACCCGGGAUGAUAAUGACAGUACCGGGAGAAUAAGCUCCGGCUAACUCCGUG
rnacentral:rRNA from 1 species